rnacentral:rRNA from 1 species
UUGGCGGACGGGUGAGUAACGCGUGGAAAACCUGCCGUAUACUGGGGGAUAACACUUAGAAAUAGGUGCUAAUACCGCAUAAGCGCACAGCUUCGCAUGAAGCGGUGUGAAAAACUCUGGUGGUAUACGAUGGUUCCGCGUCUGAUUAGCUAGUUGGUGGGGUAAUGGCCUACCAAGGCAACGAUCAGUAGCCGGCCUGAGAGGGUGGACGGCCACAUUGGGACUGAGACACGGCCCAAACUCCUACGGGAGGCAGCAG